rnacentral:rRNA from 1 species
UGAGACUUUAAGUCUCCUGAAGGAACGUUGAAGACGACGACGUUGAUAGGCCGGGUGUGUAAGCGCAGCGAUGCGUUGAGCUAACCGGUACUAAUGAGCCGUGAGGCUUAACCUUACAACGCCAGAGUGGUUU